rnacentral:rRNA from 1 species
GACGAACGCUGGCGGCGUGCUUUAUACAUGCAAGUCGAACGAUGAAGUUCCUUCGGGAAUGGAUUAGUGGCGAACGGGUGAGGAACACGUGAGAAACCUGCCUUUCAUUCUGGGAUAACACCGGGAAACCGGUGCUAAUACCGGAUACUCCGUCUUGGCGGCAUCGCCGAGCCGGGAAAAAAUUUUGAUGAAAGAUGGUCUCGCGGCCUAUCAGCUAGUUGGUGAGGGAAAGGCUCACCAAGGCGACGACGGGUAGCCGGCCUGAGAUGGCGACCGGCCACACUGGGACUGAGACACGGCCCAGCCUCAUACGGGAGGCAGCAGUAGGGAAUAUUGGGCAAUGGGCGCAAGCCUGACCCAGCGACGCCGCGUGAGGGAUGAAGGUCUUCGGAUUGUAAGCUCUUUCACCCACGACGAUAAUGACGGUAGUGGGAGGAGAAGCCCCGGCUAACUUCGUGCCAGCCGCCGCAGUAA